rnacentral:ncRNA from 1 species
AUUCACACCAACGGGGGCUCGCACCAGCGGGCUGAGAGGACGGCUAGCCCCAUCGGGCGUUCAGGGCCGUCGACCGUAUGAACCUGACCGGGUAAUGCCGGCGUAGGGAGGAACAGUCAUGGGCAC